UUAGUCAAAACAAAGGAGAAAUAAAUUGCAUCCAUGUUUGUUCAUCUGUUGUCUUUCAGGAUUUUUUGUGUCGAGCGUAUAAUGUUUCAAAACAGUUAGUGGAACACCGACAAAAUAUUGUCAUUGAAAUUCUCGUUCUAUACUUUAGACGUUGUCACAUGUCGGCUGAAAGUUAAAAAGAAGAAGGUCAACAUUCUGUAUUGCGUUAGUUUGGUUGUAAACUAUCGCCGAGCUUCUCUCUGAUAUACCACUCAAAUCCAAUUACUGUGUUUAGAAACCAUGUUUGGCCAACCAAGGGCGCAAGUCUGUUUUGAAGAGAGGGUGGGGUGGACUGGAUUUCUGUGUACGUAAUAAUAGCUAUCCUAAUACGAACUCACUUGAUUUUCAAAAAAGUGUGAGGGAAUAUGAUAGUCAUUUUACUCCUAUGAAAAGUGAAGCUGAUUAGAAAAUGAACAUUGAAUGCAUUACUUGAGAUUGUUUGCACGGCUACACGUAUUAUUCUAAUCAGUCUUUAAAAACAGCAUGUGUGCGAAAUACAAUAUAUUUGAGUGUUGAUACUUUUAAUUGUGUUGUUUUAUUGUAAAGCUUUCCCUAUCAAAAUUGAACAUUGUUAACCGUUGUCAAAUUUGAUAUGAAAAGUUUUUGUCUUUUCUUCUAUA